rnacentral:misc_RNA from 1 species
AAUUCUUCAAGCUGGAUGUUUUUUCAUCUCAGUUUGGUGUUGGGCUUUGCCGUGACACCCCUUCAUUGGGGAAUGGCUGGCCUUAAAAAUAUUAGCUGACCCUCAUGUGGGAUUGGUUCUACUCAGCGUGAUAAUAAUAAUUGUGACCGUUGAGGACGUCCUUUUAUCGGGAUGGCCAAGCUCUAUUUUGGGUUGCUUCUAAUCCUGGUGUGCACGGAUUUCUUUUGAGAUCCUGUAUUCCAUCUCAUUCAUGA